rnacentral:rRNA from 1 species
GUUCUCCCCGAAAGCUAUUUAGGUAGCGCCUCGUGAACUCAUCUCCGGGGGUAGAGCACUGUUUCGGCUAGGGGGCCAUCCCGGCUUACCAACCCGAUGCAAACUGCGAAUACCGGAGAAUGUUAUCCCCUACAAUGAGUCGUUUCAUGUUCUCUUACCGUUUACGAGCGCCGUUCAUCCCACUGUGUUACGUAAUCGGCUCAAAGUGGGUCUGAAGAGAUACCAUGACAAAAGAAUCCCUAUCAUAAAAGCCAG